AGGGAGGCCACUGGGAGACUGUACGUAAAGCCUUUUUCCGGAUCCAUAUUAUAUUGGGAUUUAACAAGCAAAGAGCUCAUUAUCAGCUUCUCUCUCUUCUUUCUCUCUUUCUGCCACACAUCACAGUCGCAGUGUUGCAGUGGCAGAGCCUGCAGCUGUGAACAACAUUAGCAUCACCACCUCUUUCCCCUGCAACCUACAAAAAAUUAAUAUUAAUUACAGAAUUCAGAGAAAAAGCGAGGGAGGAAAAAAAAGGGUGAUUUGAUAUGUAAAGUUUGGAGAGAGAGGGUAUAGGACUGUAGAGAGAGGAGAGGGAGGGGGGGGAGGGGGAGGGGGGGGGGGAGGGGGCUGUACGGGCGCGUGGCGAAAGCAUCAUCUUCUUUUGGCAAUGCGGAGGGUGCGCAGGUUAAGUAGCAGGUGCACCCAGCGCAGCCUUUGCAAAUGCAGCACCAGAUUCUGCUAGGGCUCUGAUACUAUGGUGGCUAUGAUCGAUCUCAACACCGUCGACGACGACGAGACACCCUCGUCUGGGUCGUCGUCUUCCUCCUCCUCAUCCGCCUCUGCUUCUGCUUCCACAGUUUGUGGUUCUUUGUUGUCGGCGGCGUCGUCGGUAUGUUUGGAGCUGUGGCACGCGUGUGCUGGCCCGCUCAUAUCGCUUCCGAAGAAAGGCAGCCUUGUGGUGUACUUUCCACAGGGCCACCUGGAGCAGCUUUCUGAUUAUCCGGCCGUAGCCUAUGAUCUCCCGCCUCACGUCUUCUGUCGAGUGGUUGAUGUCAAGCUCCAUGCCGAGGUAGUUACGGAUGAAGUUUACGCACAGGUCUCGCUGGUUCCUGAAACCAAGAUUAAGCAGAAACUGCAGGAAGGGGAAAUUGAAGCAGAUGGUGGUGAAGAAGAGGAUAUUGAGGGUUCUAUCAAGUCCAUGACACCCCACAUGUUCUGCAAAACUCUUACUGCUUCAGAUACUAGCACCCAUGGGGGUUUUUCUGUCCCCCGCCGAGCUGCAGAGGACUGUUUUCCUCCCCUGGAUUACAAACAGCAGAGACCUUCACAAGAGCUUGUGGCCAAAGAUUUGCAUGGCUUCGAAUGGAGAUUCCGGCAUAUCUACAGGGGGCAGCCAAGGCGGCAUUUGCUUACUACUGGUUGGAGUGCAUUUGUAAACAAGAAGAAGCUUGUGUCUGGAGAUGCUGUACUCUUUCUUAGGGGUGGGGAUGGAGAACUAAGACUGGGAAUCCGAAGAGCAGCUCAAAUUAAAGGUUCGUCUCCUUUCCCAGCUCUUUGUAGCCAACAGUUGAAUCUCAACACCCUUACAGCUGUGGUCAAUGCUAUAUCCACAAGAAGUGUUUUCAACAUAUGCUACAAUCCGAGGGCUAGCUCAUCAGAGUUCAUAAUACCGCUCCGUAAAUUCUCAAAGAGCAUUGAUCAUUCAUUUUCUGCUGGGAUGAGGUUCAAAAUGCGUGUUGAAACAGAAGAUGCAGCAGAACGAAGAUAUACUGGACUGAUAACUGGGAUCAGUGACAUGGAUCCUGUUAGAUGGCCUGGUUCUAAAUGGAGGUGCCUAUUGGUAAGGUGGGACGAUAUAGAGGCUAAUCGACAUAACAGGGUUUCUCCAUGGGAAAUUGAGCUAUCUGGUUCGCUUUCUGGUUCUGGCAGCUUGACAGUUCCUGGCUCAAAGAGGACCAGGAUUGGUUUGCCGGGAACUAGACCAGAUUUUUCAGUUCCCAAUGGGAUGGGAGUGUCAGACUUUGGGGAAUCUUCAAGGUUCCAGAAGGUCUUGCAAGGUCAAGAAAUUUUUGGUUUUAACACUCCUUAUGAUGGUGUUGAUACCCAGGAUCAUCAUCCAUCUGAAAUAAGGUGUUUUCCUGGUUCAAGUUGUUCUGGGAUUGCUGCAAUAGGAAAUGGUGUUAGAAACCCUCUUGGGAAUUCUGAUAUUUCCUAUAAAGGCAUAGGCUUUGGUGAAUCUUUUCGAUUCCAUAAGGUCUUGCAAGGUCAAGAAACAUUUCCAAGCCCACCAUGUGGAAGAGCUCUGUCUGCUAACCAGGCUCAUGAAAAUGGUAGCUUUGGAAUCUUUGAUGGUGUUCAAGUGCCGACUUCUAGAAAUGGAUGGCCUGCCCUUGUGCAGGGAUAUAAUGCCCACACUCACCUGUCCACACCAUCAGUGCAAGUGUCGUCACCAUCAUCGGUGUUAAUGUUCCAGCAAGCAAGCACUGCUGCUCCUAACAUUUACUCAAUGCAUAGCGCCAAUAAUCAGGAGAAGGAGCAAGAAAUUAGUAACCGGAGUUCAUUUGAUAUUCCUGAAGUGUAUGGUGAAAAGCUCACACCAUCACGUUGUGAGCUUAGUGUCAGGGGAGGAGGUCAGGGAGGUAUGAAUUUCUUUGGUCUGUUAAACGAGCAUAAUCAACUAGCUGUUCCACAUCCUCUUGUAACUCAAUCAGCAUUUAGAGGCAGUCAAGAUUUAGUUCCUACAUGUAAAAGUAGCUGCAGGCUCUUUGGCUUUUCCUUAACGGAGGAAAGAAGCAUUGGAAAUAAAGUGGACAACCCCACUCCUGUUACAUCUUCAUUGAUUCCUGGAACCUCUUUUCUGCCCCAGCAGUUGCACUCAGAGCCUCCGGUGAUGACCAAGGCAAUUGGAAGCAAUUGUACCAAAGUAAGUGACUUCUAUGCUGUAAGGGAUAUGCUUUUUGAUAUUGCGCUGUAGCGUACUGCUGUUGUAAGAUCAAAAUUGCAAUUUCACAAGCUGGGGAGUGUUGUAGACCAGGCAAUUAAUCGCUGGAAGCUUGAUAGGCAUGAUGAUUUGAUUUGUGCAUUGAAGCAUUUAUUUGAUAUGGAGGGAGGGCUUCUGCAUGGUGAGGGAAAGUUGUUUACCAGGAUCAUGAGGAUGUUGUGAUGCUUGUUCGAGAUGACUCAUGGCAGGAAAUCUGCAGCAUUUGAUGAAAAAUUAUGAUAUUUACUAAUGAAGACGUAGUGAUGGCACCAAACAUAGAUGCUUAUAGUUGCUGAGAGGCACACAUGGCAUCAUUGAUAUGUUUUUAGCUCUUGGGCGAAAGAACUGUAAUUAUUGCCAUAACAGUAAUGUAUCUUAACCUCCCUUGCUAUGGAGAACAAUUUAAACUAAUUUACUAGGUUCCUUGGAAUACUCAGUUAAGAAAUUACUUUUAAAACUGUAUCAAAAUAUUACUCUAUGUUGUUCAUCAGUUGUGUUACUGUAUUGCAGCUAUUGCUUCUGUA